UACGUAGGGGCCGAGCGUUGUCCGGAGUUAUUGGGCGUAAAGCGCGCGCAGGCGGCCUCGCGCGCCCGACGUGAAAGCCCCCGGCUUAACCGGGGAGGGUCGUUGGGGACGGCGGGGCUUGAGGGCGGGAGAGGUCGGUGGAAUUCCCGGUGUAGUGGUGAGAUGCGUAGAGAUCGGGAGGAACACCUGUGGCGAAGGCGGCCGACUGGGCCGACCCUGACGCUGAGGCGCGAAGGCGUGGGGAGCGAACGGG
rnacentral:rRNA from 1 species